rnacentral:rRNA from 1 species
UACGAAGGGGGCUAGCGUUGCUCGGAAUCACUUGGGCGUAAAGGGUGCGUAGGCGGGUUUUAAGUCAGAGGUGAAAUCCUGGAGCUCAACUCCAGAACUGCCUUUGAUACUGAAAGUCUUGAGUAUGGGAGAGGUGAGUGGAACUGCGAGUGUAGAGGUGAAAAUUCGUAGAUAUUCGCAAAGAACACCAGUGGCGAAGGCGGCUCACUGGCCCAUUUACUGACGCUGAGGCACGAAAGCGUGGGAGCAAACAGGGAU